rnacentral:rRNA from 1 species
CCUACGGGAGGCAGCAGUGGGGAAUAUUGCACAAUGGGGGAAACCCUGAUGCAGCGACGCCGCGUGAGUGAAGAAGUAAUUCGUUCUGUAAAGCUCUAUCAGCAGGGAAGAAAAUGACGGUACCUGAGUAAGAAGCCCCGGCUAACUACGUGCCAGCAGCCGCGGUAAUACGUAGGGGGCAAGCGUUAUCCGGAUUUACUGGGUGUAAAGGGAGCGUAGACGGCAGUGCAAGUCUGGAGUGAAAGGCGGGGGCUCAACCCCCGGACUGCUCUGGAAACUGUACGGCUGGAGUGCAGGAGAGGUAAGUGGAAUUCCUAGUGUAGCGGUGAAAUGCGUAGAGAUUAGGAGGAACACCAGUGGCGAAGGCAGCUUACUGAACUGUAACUGACGUUGAGGCUCGAAAGCGUGGGGAGCAAACAGGAUUAGAUACCCCGGUAGUC